UUUGAGGAUGAGCAAGACCAACAAGAACCAGUCAGGUAAAAAUCCUUGGUGAAGUCACCAGAUAUGGAUGGCGUGUAUGUUGUUCGACAUUGCAGCGUGCUGAUGAGUUAAUAAAGAGCGUGUAUGUUGUUCGACAUUGCAGCGUGCUGAUGAGUAUCGCUCUUCGGUUAAUAAAGAGGCAGCAAAAACCUGGGAUCUGCAUUGGCCCUGUCAAGUCUGGAGAGUGUUUUUACCGUUUAAUGAAUUAAAUUGCAAUAAAAGUUUUUAAAUGGA